rnacentral:misc_RNA from 1 species
CAGAAUUGGAAUCUAUGUUCCAGGUGUGGUGGAAUGAAGUAUCCGAGCUUGAGAGGCUUGUCAUACCUCGACCAUAUUUUGACGAGCUGGAGAUUCAGCAGCUGGAAGUACAUAUAUUCUCUGAUGCAAGCCCAAAGGCAUAUGGUGCGGUCGCAUAUUUCAAGAUUAGAUACCAUGACAAAUGUGCGACAAGUUUUAUAAUUUCAAAAUGUCGUCUAGCUCCACUGAAGAAAAUGACUUUGCCGCGAUUAGAACUACUAGGAAACUUGAUUUCCGCACGAUUGUCUGAUUAUAUACGAUCCACGUUUUCUUCUCUGAAAGAAAGUGACAUUUUCAUGUGGACAAAUUCCACAAUAUGUCUACAUUGGAUUAGAGGUGUUGCAAAUGAUUGGAAGCAAUUUGUUCGCAAUAGAGUUUUGGAAAUCAAAGAAAAGACAAAUCCAUCGAAUUGGAAUUUUUGCAACGGAAAGCUGAAUCCUGCAGAUAAACUUACUAGGGGAGUAAAUGCACGAUCUUUAAUUAAUGAUGAAACAUGGUGGAGAGGCCCCUUGUGGCUAAAAGAAGUUGAUGUUCCAAACAGUAAAGAAAUACCGAAUGCUGAUAUUGAUACAUUUGAAGCAAAAAAGGAGAGAAAAAAGAACUGUAUUGUUUUACCAACAUACGUUGAACGUACCGAUAGCUUGUUGAAUUUGCACAGAUACAGUGACUUAUCUAAGGUUCUUCGAAUCACUGCAUGCGUCAUACCGUUUAUUAAUAAAUGUAAGAAAAAUUCUGAAAGGUGUAAAGAAGCGCUAACUGCUGAAGAACUCGCAAGUGCUGAACGCUAUUGGAUUCGAUUUAUACAGCGAAGUGAGUUUGAAAAGGAUCUUAUUAAAUUGAUACGAAAGGAAACACUUAGUUCCGAUUCCAAAUUAUAUGGUCUAAACCCGAUCCUGACGGCAGAAGGACUCAUAUGUCUUGGUGGUAGAUUACAACAUUCUGAUUUUCAGUUUCAAGAAAAGCAUCCAUGGAUUAUACCGAAAAAAUCGAGAUUUACUGAAUUGCUAAUCAAAAGAGAACAUGAGAACUUGCUUCAUGCUGGUGUUUCAGAUACGCUCACUCAAACUCGAGAAAAGUAUUGGAUCAUCCGAGGCAGACAAGCUGUAAAAUCGUGCUUAACUGUUUCGUUUGCAGGAAAUUGAAGGCUAAAAAGGGCACUCAAGUUACUACUCCAUUACCAGCGGAUAGAAUUCAUGAAGCGAAUCCCUUUGAAAUCACAGGUGUUGAUUUUGCUGGACCUUUAUUUACGAAAAAUGGAGACAAGGUUUAUAUUUGUUUGUUUACUUGUGCAGUCACACGUGCAGCUCAUCCUGAAAUUGUUUCUAGCCUAAGCACCGAACAUUUCCUUCUAGCAUUUCGUCGCUUUGUAUCAAGAAGAGGUGUUUGCCGAACUAUAAACUCCGACAAUGCCAAAACUUUUAAAGGUGCAGAUGUAGAACUGAAGAAAUUAUAUGCAAAUAUUGUUGAUCCAUCUGUACAAAAUUAUUUUGGUACAAAAGGAAUAAGAUGGCAUUUUAUUGUCGAAAGAGCAGCUUGGUGGGGUGGAUACUGGGAGAGAAUGGUGAAGAUGACAAAAGGUAUUUUGAGAAAAGUGUUAGGAAAGGCUUCAGUUUCCUUUGAAGAAUUACAAACCAUUUUGACAGAAAUAGAAUGUAUUCUCAAUUCUAGACCACUUACUUACGUUUACAAUGAUCCAUCAGAGGCAUUCCCUCUUACUCCUGCUCAUUUCCUAACUGGAAAACGCUUAACAUCCUUACCGCACCAGGCUGGUCAUGUUAAAGAACAUAUUACAAGUAACAAAAGAAUUUUAAUUAAAAGAUAUUUGUAUCGGGAGAAAAUUUUAAAUGAUUUUUGGAGACGAUGGAAAAGAGAGUAUCUUCUCCAAUUAAAAUGUGAAAAUUGUUUCAAACCUGUUAAUGUAACCACUGAUUUUAAUAUAAAUUAUGUAGUUUUGAUAGAGGAUGACAAACUACCUCGGCAGCUGUGGAAGCUGGGAAAGGUGAUGGAAUUGCACAAAGGCAGGGAUAACAAAUACCAUGUGGAGCAGAAAAUUGUGAAAAUGGCGGCAUUUGCGACGGAAAAGGGGAUUUCAAAUUUUGCGAAUGCUUGACAGGAACUUCUGGAGAUUUUUGCACGGAAAUUCCAGCUUGCAGAAAUGGAUCUUU